rnacentral:rRNA from 1 species
GAUGAACGCUGGCGGCGUGCCUAAUACAUGCAAGUCGAGCGAACGGACGAGAAGCUUGCCUCUCUGAUGUUAGCGGCGGACGGGUGAGUAACACGUGGAUAACCUACCUAUGAGACUGGGAUAACUUCGGGAAACCGGAGCUAAUACCGGAUAAUAUUUUGAACCGCAUGGUUCAAAAGUGAAAGACGGUCUUGCUGUCACUUAUAGAUGGAUCCGCGCUGCAUUAGCUAGUUGGUAAGGUAACGGCUUACCAAGGCAACGAUGCAUAGCCGACCUGAGAGGGUGAUCGGCCACACUGGAACUGAGACACGGUCCAGACUCCUACGGGAGGCAGCAGUAGGGAAUCUUCCGCAAUGGGCGAAAGCCUGACGGAGCAACGCCGCGUGAGUGAUGAAGGUCUUCGGAUCGUAAAACUCUGUUAUUAGGGAAGAACAUAUGUGUAAGUAACUGUGCACAUCUUGACGGUACCUAAUCAGAAAGCCACGGCUAACUACGUG